rnacentral:rRNA from 1 species
UACGAAGGGGGCUAGCGUUGCUCGGAAUCACUGGGCGUAAAGCGCACGUAGGCGGCUUGUUAAGUCAGGGGUGAAAUCCUGGAGCUCAACUCCAGAACUGCCUUUGAUACUGGCGAGCUUGAGUCCGGGAGAGGUGAGUGGAACUGCGAGUGUAGAGGUGAAAUUCGUAGAUAUUGGGAGGAACACCAGUGGCGAAGGCGGCUCACUGGACCGGUUCUGACGCUGAGGCGCGAAAGCGUGGGGAGCAAACGGG